UUUGUAUAAUGGGUCAGCGACUUAUAUUCAGUGGCAAGGUUAACCAUCUAGGGGAGCCGUAGGGAAACCGAGUCUUAACUGGGCGUUCAGUCUCUGGAUAUAGACCCGAAACCAGGUGAUCUAGCCAUGGGCAGGUUGAAGGUUGAGUAACAUCAACUGGAGGACCGAACCGACUAAUGUUGAAAAAUUAGCGGAUGACUUGUGGCUAGGGGUGAAAGGCCAAUCAAACCUGGAGAUAGCUGGUUCUCCCCGAAAGCUAUUUAGGUAGCGCCUCGGACGAAUACUACUGGGGGUAGAGCACUGUUAAGGCUAGGGGGUCAUCCCGACUUACCAACCCUUUGCAAACUCCGAAUACCAGUAAGUACUAUCCGGGAGACACACGGCGGGUGCUAACGUCCGUCGUGGAGAGGGAAACAACCCAGACCGCCAGCUAAGGUCCCAAAUUACUACUAAGUGGGAAACGAUGUGGGAAGGCUCAGACAGCCAGGAUGUUGGCUUAGAAGCAGCCAUCAUUUAAAGAAAGCGUAAUAGCUCACUGGUCGAGUCGGCCUGCGCGGAAGAUGUAACGGGGCUAAGUAGUAAACCGAAGCUGCGGCAAUAUACUUUUGUAUAUUGGGUAGGGGAGCGUUCUGUAAGCGGUUGAAGGUGUGUGGUAACGCAUGCUGGACGUAUCAGAAGUGCGAAUGCUGACAUGAGUAACGAUAAAGGGGGUGAAAAACCUCCUCGCCGGAAGACCAAGGGUUCCUGUCCAACGUUAAUCGGGGCAGGGUAAGUCGACCCCUAAGGCGAGGCCGAAAGGCGUAGUCGAUGGGAAACGGGUUAAUAUUCCCGUACUUCUUACAAUUGCGAUGGGGGGACGGAGAAGGCUAGGUGGGCCUGGCGACGGUUGUCCAGGUUCAAGUGCGUAGGCUUAAGAGUUAGGUAAAUCCGGCUCUUUUUAAGGCUGAGACACGACGUCGAGCACCUACGGGUGUGAAGUCAUUGAUGCCAUGCUUCCAGGAAAAGCCUCUAAGCUUCAGAUUGUAAGGAAUCGUACCCCAAACCGACACAGGUGGUCGGGUAGAGAAUACCAAGGCGCUUGAGAGAACUCGGGUGAAGGAACUAGGCAAAAUGGUACCGUAACUUCGGGAGAAGGUACGCUCUCGACGGUGAAGUCCCUCGCGGAUGGAGCUAUUGAGAGUCGCAGAUACCAGGUGGCUGCAACUGUUUAUUAAAAACACAGCACUGUGCAAAAUCGUAAGAUGACGUAUACGGUGUGACGCCUGCCCGGUGCCGGAAGGUUAAUUGAUGGGGUUAGACUUCGGUCGAAGCUCUUGAUCGAAGCCCCGGUAAACGGCGGCCGUAACUAUAACGGUCCUAAGGUAGCGAAAUUCCUUGUCGGGUAAGUUCCGACCUGCACGAAUGGCGUAAUGAUGGCCACGCUGUCUCCACCCGAGACUCAGUGAAAUUGAAAUCGCUGUGAAGAUGCAGUGUACCCGCGGCUAGACGGAAAGACCCCGUGAACCUUUACUACAGCUUGGCACUGAACAUUGACCCUACAUGUGUAGGAUAGGUGGGAGGCUUUGAAGCACGU
rnacentral:rRNA from 1 species